rnacentral:rRNA from 1 species
AUUGAACGCUGGCGGCAGGCCUAACACAUGCAAGUCGAGCGGAUGAAGGGAGCUUGCUCCUGGAUUCAGCGGCGGACGGGUGAGUAAUGCCUAGGAAUCUGCCUGGUAGUGGGGGAUAACGUCCGGAAACGGGCGCUAAUACCGCAUACGUCCUGAGGGAGAAAGUGGGGGAUCUUUGGACCUCACGCUAUCAGAUGAGCCUAGGUCGGAUUAGCUAGUUGGUGGGGUAAAGGCCUACCAAGGCGACGAUCCGUAACUGGUCUGAGAGGAUGAUCAGUCACACUGGAACUGAGACACGGUCCAGACUCCUACGGGAGGCAGCAGUGGGGAAUAUUGGACAAUGGGCGAAAGCCUGAUUCAGCCAUGCCGCGUGUGUGAAGAAGGUCUUCGGAUUGUAAAGCACUUUAAGUUGGGAGGAAGGGCAGUAAGUUAAUACCUUGCUGUUUUGACGUUACCAACAGAAUAAGCACCGGCUAACUUCGUG